rnacentral:rRNA from 1 species
UACGUAGGGUGCAAGCGUUAAUCGGAAUUACUGGGCGUAAAGCGUGCGCAGGCGGUUUUGUAAGUCUGACGUGAAAUCCCCCGAGCUUAACUUGGGAAUUGCGUUGGAGACUGCAAGGCUGGAGUCUGGCAGAGGGGGGUAGAAUUCCACGUGUAGCAGUGAAAUGCGUAGAGAUGUGGAGGAACACCGAUGGCGAAGGCAGCCCCCUGGGUCAAGACUGACGCUCAUGCACGAAAGCGUGGGGAGCAAACAGG